AAGACCUCGAAAGUCGCUCCCAAAAGCGGUUUUCGACCACCUCGCCUGACGGGGAAACACUCAAGGGAACUUUUUGCCCCGAUCAGGAUGCCCUGCGACAAGUCCAAGGCCAGAAUCGGGUCAUCGCAGAUCCGGUUUGCUCAAGAAAAACUCUGCCAAUUAUUCGCCAAGGGCACGCUAAUUGCGCUUCUGCUACUUUGGACCCAAUGUCAACGGUGAAAAACUUUACGAUGCUGGCUAAUUCUUAUGCAUUAUCUCGAGGGGCACAACAAAACCUAUCGGUAUAUUGGGAGCCAGAACAGCUGCUCAAACGGCAUGCAAAUCCCAUCAGCUGAUCGGGAUCUGAAGCUGCGCUGCCCUGGGCUUAAUCCCGCCUGCGACCACACUUCGAGGAUUCUCCAAAGGUCUUCGGGAUCAAUUCCUCGCUGGGAGUAAAUAGACCCCCCCCCCACGCUGAGCUUGUGCAAGCGCCAAAUGGCAGGGUUGCCACACCGGAUCGAACAGAGCGAUCGGCCAGUCAAAUCGAUUAGUCGGGCAGAAUGGCCAGAGCGUGGAGAGCGGGGAGGUGUUUUGACGUGGAGAGCGCCGUCCCGUCCGUCCAGUCCAAAAUGGUUAUUGUGAACGGACCAAGCGGCGCGCAGUUGCAAAAGAGCGAAAAACGAAAAUCACAUGUGCGAACAACUUACAGCUUACCACUUGCAAACAGCUAGAAAUCCGCAACCGAAGGCGGCCAGCAGCAGCUCGGUUGGUAAAUCGCUGGCAGCCGAAAUCUGAAAACUGUAAACUGAAAACUGCAGAAACCACAA